GCCCUCGUAGCACAGUAGCUAGUGCGUCUGCCUCGUAAGCAGAAGGUCGCGAGUGCAAUUCUCGCCGAGGGCU
rnacentral:tRNA from 1 species